rnacentral:lncRNA from 1 species
CGCAUUACUACACUGUGUACCAUUACAACAUUGCAAGGGGUGUCCUAUCGCACCCAUUACUACAUUGCAAAGUUUGAAGAACAGCGCAUGACGGCAGAGCUGGUGUUGUGGUCUGUGAUGUCGUCUGCGUAGAAGCCACAUGAGGCAGGAGUGCACGACUAGCAGGAAGAUCGUGCAUGAGCACGGGGGUUGCGUUUCUCAGGCAUUGACAUGUUGAAUUGCCAUCUUUUUGGACUGAGCCGAUGACCGCCCUGCUGCAGCCCCUGCUGGCGCAGCGGCAC